AAACCAACCGGGAUUGCCUCAGUAACGGCGAGUGAAGCGGCAAAGCUCAAUUUGAAAUCUGGCACUUUCAGUGUCCGAGUUGUAAUUUGUAGAAGUAGUUUUGGGACUGGUCCUUAUCUAUGUUUCUUGGAACAGGACGUCAUAGAGGGUGAGAACCCCGUAUGAUGAGGCCCCCAGUCCUUUGUAAAACGCUUUCGAAGAGUCGAGUUGUUUGGGAAUGCAGCUCUAAGUGGGUGGUAAAUUCCAUCUAAAGCUAAAUAUUGGCGAGAGACCGAUAGCGAACAAGUACAGUGAUGGAAAGAUGAAAAGAACUUUGAAAAGAGAGUGAAAAAGUACGUGAAAUUGUUGAAAGGGAAGGGCAUUUGAUCAGACAUGGUGUUUUGCGCCCUUUGCUCCUUGUGGGCGGAGGAUACGCAGCUCACUGGGCCAACAUCAGUUUUGGGAGCAGGAUAAAUCUGUAGGAACGUAGCUUUCUUUGGGAAGUGUUAUAGCCUAUGGGAAUACUGCUACCUGGGACUGAGGACUGCGUCUUUUGACAAGGAUGUUGGCAUAAUGGUUAAAUGCCGC
rnacentral:rRNA from 1 species